AACCUGGUUGAUCCUGCCAGUAGUCAUAUGCUUGUCUCAAAGACUAAGCCAUGCAUGUCUAAGUAUAAAUGAUAUACAGUGAAACUGCGAAUGGCUCAUUAAAACAGUUAUAGUUUAUUUGGUAAUCGAAUUUACAUGGAUAACCGUGGUAAUUCUAGAGCUAAUACAUGCUGUAAAGCCCGACUUCACGGAAGGGCCGUAUUUAUUAGAUAACAGACCAAUAUUCCUCGUGUCUAUUGUGGUGAAUCAUAGUAACUAAUCGGAUCGCAUGGGCUAGUCCCGCGACAAACCAUUCAAGUUUCUGCCCCAUCAGCUUUCGAUGGUAGUGUAUUGGACUACCAUGGCUUUUACGGGUAACGGAGGAUUAGGGUUCGAUUCCGGAGAGGGAGCCUGAGAAACGGCUACCACAUCUAAGGAAGGCAGCAGGCGCGUAAAUUACCCAAUCCUAAUUCAGGGAGGUAGUGACAAGAAAUAACGGGUCGGGGCUCUGCCCCGGGACUGCAAUGAGAUGAAUUUACACCCCUUUUCGAGUAACAAUUGGAGGGCAAGUCUGGUGCCAGCAGCCGCGGUAAUUCCAGCUCCAAUAGCGUAUAUUAAAGUUGUUGCAGUUAAAAAGCUCGUAGUUGGAUUUCUGGUUGGGUAGUUUCUGCCCUCUUGUGAGUGCGCAGUAGUAUCCAUCCAUCCUUCUGUUAACCUUGCAGAUCUUCACGGGUCUGCUUGGGGCUCAGAUAUUUUACCUUGAGAAAAUUAGAGUGUUUCAGGCAGGCUAGCGCCGGAAUACAUUAGCAUGGAAUAAUAGA
rnacentral:rRNA from 1 species